CCUACGGGUGACAGCAGUGGGGAAUCUUCCACAAUGGGGGAAACCCUGAUGCAGCGACGCCGCGUGAGGGAAGAAGUAUUUCGGUAUGUAAACUUCUAUCAGCAGAGAAGAACAUGACGGUACCUGACUAAGAAUCCCCGGCUAACUACUUGCCAGCAGCCGCCGGAAUACGUAGGGGGCAAGCGUUAUCCGGAUGGUCUGGGUGUAACGGGAGCGUAGGCGGUGAUGCAAGUCAGAAGUGAAAGCCCUCGGCUCAACUGGGGGAGUGCUUUUGAAACUGUAUGACUAGAUUGCAGGAGAGGUAAGUGGAAUUCCAAGUGUAGCGGUGAAAUGCGUAGAUAUUAGGAGGAACACCAGUGGCGAAGGCGGCUUACUGGUCUGUAAAUGACGCUGAGGCUCGAAAGCGUGGGGAGCAAACAGGAUUAGAUACCCUAGUAGUC
rnacentral:rRNA from 1 species